UUGGAUUUUAUAUAAUAUAAUUAGGACUAAAAACUUUGGCUAGUUCGUGCAAUUGGUAUAAUAUCUAUAAUUCAAAACUUAGUAUUAUUUAGAUUAUUGAGUAUGCUAAGUGUAUACAAAAUAUUGUGAUAAUCUAACAAUGUGGUUUAGAGAUAUCUGGUUUUUAGCACAAGAGGGUUUCAGAAGUUGGCAGUUUGGAAUUGACUAGGAUUUCUAUGAUAUCUUGAGAUCUACUAGUUGGAUCAAGGUGAAAUUUGAAAUGGUAUUGAAGGACUUGAAGAUCAAGCUACACACUAAUUUUAAGUUGAAGUUAAUAUUUAGAGAAGGAGAAAUCACUACU
rnacentral:lncRNA from 1 species